rnacentral:rRNA from 1 species
CUAUACAUGCAAGUCGAACGCUUUGUGGUUCAACUGAUUUGAAGAGCUUGCUCAGAUAUGACGAUGGACAUUGCAAAGAGUGGCGAACGGGUGAGUAACACGUGGGAAACCUACCUCUUAGCAGGGGAUAACAUUUGGAAACAGAUGCUAAUACCGUAUAACAAUGACAACCGCAUGGUUGUUAUUUAAAAGAUGGUUCUGCUAUCACUAAGAGAUGGUCCCGCGGUGCAUUAGCUAGUUGGUAAGGUAAUGGCUUACCAAGGCGAUGAUGCAUAGCCGAGUUGAGAGACUGAUCGGCCACAAUGGGACUGAGACACGGCCCAUACUCCUACGGGAGGCAGCAGUAGGGAAUCUUCCACAAUGGGCGAAAGCCUGAUGGAGCAACGCCGCGUGUGUGAUGAAGGGUUUCGGCUCGUAAAACACUGUUGUAAGAGAAGAAUGACAUUGAGAGUAACUGUUCAAUGUGUGACGGUAUCUUACCAGAAAGGAACGGCUAAAUACGUGCCAGCAGCCGCGGUAAUACGUAUGUUCCAAGCGUUAUCCGGAUUUAUUGGGCGUAAAGCGAGCGCAGACGGUUAUUUAAGUCUGAAGUGAAAGCCCUCAGCUCAACUGAGGAAUUGCUUUGGAAACUGGAUGACUUGAGUGCAGUAGAGGAAAGUGGAACUCCAUGUGUAGCGGUGAAAUGCGUAGAUAUAUGGAAGAACACCAGUGGCGAAGGCGGCUUUCUGGACUGUAACUGACGUUGAGGCUCGAAAGUGUGGGUAGCAAACAGGAUUAGAUACCCUGGUAGUCCACACCGUAAACGAUGAGUGCUAGGUGUUUGAGGGUUUCCGCCCUUAAGUGCCGCAGCUAACGCAUUAAGCACUCCGCCUGGGGAGUACGACCGCAAGGUUGAAACUCAAAGGAAUUGACGGGGACCCGCACAAGCGGUGGAGCAUGUGGUUUAAUUCGAAGCAACGCGAAGAACCUUACCAGGUCUUGACAUCCCUUGACAACUCCAGAGAUGGAGCGUUCCCUUCGGGGACAAGGUGACAGGUGGUGCAUGGUUGUCGUCAGCUCGUGUCGUGAGAUGUUGGGUUAAGUCCCGCAACGAGCGCAACCCUUAUUACUAGUUGCCAGCAUUCAGUUGGGCACUCUAGUGAGACUGCCGGUGACAAACCGGAGGAAGGUGGGGAUGACGUCAAAUCAUCAUGCCCCUUAUGACCUGGGCUACACACGUGCUACAAUGGCGUAUACAACGAGUUGCCAACCCGCGAGGGUGAGCUAAUCUCUUAAAGUACGUCUCAGUUCGGAUUGUAGGCUGCAACUCGCCUACAUGAAGUCGGAAUCGCUAGUAAUCGCGGAUCAGCACGCCGCGGUGAAUACGUUCCCGGGUCUUGUACACACCGCCCGUCACACCAUGAGAGUUUGUAACACCCAAAGCCGGUGGGGUAACCUUCGGGAGCCAGCC